rnacentral:rRNA from 1 species
AAAAAUUAACUUCAUCCGAUCCCUAGUCGGCAUAGUUUAUGGUUAAGACUACGACGGUAUCUGAUCGUCUUCGAUCCCCUAACUUUCGUUCUUGAUUAAUGAAAACAUCCUUGGCAAAUGCUUUCGCAGUAGUUAGUCUUCAAUAAAUCCAAGGAUUUCACCUCUGACAAUUGAAUACUAAUGCCCCCAACUAUCCCUAUUAAUCAUUACGUCAAUCCUAGAAACCAACAAAAUAGGGUCAACGUCCUAUUUCAUUAUUCCAUGCUAAUGUAUUCAAGCCUAAGCCUGCUUUAAACACUCUAAUUUUUUCAAAGUAACAGUCCUGAUUUCCUGCAACACCAAAUUAAUGACAUUACAGUUCGUCAAGAGGGAGGAAUCAGUGAGAUCAGUACAUACCAGAGGCAUGACCAACCUACUAACCCCGAAAUUCAACUACGAGCUUUUUAACUGCAACAACUUUAAUAUACGCUAUUGGAGCUGGAAUUACCGCG